rnacentral:rRNA from 1 species
CCUACGGGAGGCAGCAGUGGGGAAUAUUGGGCAAUGGGCGCAAGCCUGACCCAGCAACGCCGCGUGAAGGAAGAAGGCUUUCGGGUUGUAAACUUCUUUUCUGAGGGACGAAGAAAGUGACGGUACCUCAGGAAUAAGCCACGGCUAACUACGUGCCAGCAGCCGCUGUAAUACGUAGGUUGCGAGCGUUAUCCGGAUUUAUUGGGUGUAAAGGGCGGGUAGGCGGGCUGACAAGUCAGAUGGGAAAUCCGGGGGCUCAACCCCCGAACUGCAUUUGAAACUGGCGGUCUUGAGUAUGGGAGAGGCAGGCGGAAUUCCUGGUGUAGCGGUGAAAUGCGUAGAUAUCAGGAGGAACACCAGUGGCGAAGGCGGCAUGCUGGACGACAACUGACGGUGAGGCGCGAAAGCGUGGGGAGCAAACAGGAUUAGAUACCCCAGUAGUC